UACAGAGGUCUCAAGCGUUGUUCGGAUUCAUUGGGCGUAAAGGGUGCGUAGGCGGCGCGGUAAGUCCGCUGUGAAAUCUCGAGGCUCAACUUCGAGCUGUCGGUGGAAACUGUCUGGCUAGAGUCCGGAAGAGGAGAAUGGAAUUCCUGGUGUAGCGGUGAAAUGCGCAGAUAUCAGGAAGAACACCCGUGGCUAAGGCGGCUCUCUAGUACGGUACUGACGCUGAGACGCGAAAGCGUGGGGAGCGAACAGG
rnacentral:rRNA from 1 species